rnacentral:lncRNA from 1 species
CGAUCACUGAACACAGCCACCCACAUAUGUGUGCGUGUUCACUCGUGUACUCAUUAGUAUAAUCGUUGUUUUGACACUUCUUAGAUCGUGCCUUGUCUGCUCAUCUUGAUAUUCAUGUCUGGCUUAAAGCUGAGGGUAGAGAAGGCACAGCAGAUGGUGGCAAAUGAAAAGGAGACCCCAGAUUUUGCAAUACCUUCAGUUCACCUCUUUCCUGAGACUUCCUCGUGUCUGUCUUUCACUCGUCUUCUCAAACUCCACAUGUUAAACAGCCAUUCAGCCAUUUCCUUAAAUCUCCAGCCCUUUCUUGGAGGAUGGGGUGAGGUAGGAAGGGAUUUGCUAGGUACUUGGUUAUUAGCCUUCACAUUAACAGUCCAAGACACAAAGCCAAAGAUCCAGGCUCAUAUCCAACUUCUCACCUUUCCUUAAUGAUGCCCAUUCCCAAUAAUAUUCAGACUGUGAUCUCCCAUAAACACGCUAUCACUAGCCACACCAGCUUCUUGCUGAGCCUGCUCUCUAGUGAAGAGCCCAUGGCCCCUCUCCAGCUGCUUUUCCGAGAUUACCACAGCCACCGUUUUCCUUGUCUUCCUCCCUCCCUUAUCACCUUCUUCCUGGCUAUGUUAUUCUGGCUGGUCAUGGAUCCUCCUGCCUGAGUAGCCGGGACAACAAGUGUACUCUACUGUGUCUAGUCGGAACUGUGUUUCUGCAACGCUAACCAGAACAACUGAUUCACUACUUCGACGACUUCCAGGAGAAAUACUAUGGAAGGAAUUUGAGGUCGGCUUCUUUGGGCAGAUGAAAUUCUUCCCGGUGUAGUCUCCUCCCCUCUUCAUUUACAACAGAAGUUAACAUCUGUGUUCCCUACUUUCCUUAGUUCUCAGACAUUUUGUCAUCUGUUACCACAACUAUUUAGUGACUCAACAAGAAUUUCCCUAAAUCACUGUGAGAUCUCAUUUGGAUUUUUAAUAAACAGUCACA